UGCUACACGACCAGACUACUGUUCACCCGGUUUCAACAUCUUACGUGGCUGUCCAAAUAAGCAGUCCUUCCAUCUUCUCUUUUUCUUGUUCUCUUUUUCUUUUUCCAAGCCCUAGCGAGAUUCUCAUAGUGCAAGCGGCGAUGAAUGACCAGAUCUGUAACCAAAACGGCGAGGAGCGGCACAGAUUGUACUGGCGAGGAGCUGGCUUACCGGUGAGCAGUGUGUUCAAUUUGCUUUACCGCUUCGAGCAAACCACGUUUUUGAAGAAACUUAAUCUAAAAUUGAUCUCAAAAACACCUAUAUCAGGUAUGGAUUUAAUAUUAUUCAAUAUAUUUUCAGUUUUUGUAUGGAAUUUGUCCUUUUAUUUUUUCUAAAAUAAACUGUGAAAAAAAAGAAAGAAGAAAUAAACUGGGUUUGCUGUGGAUAUAUUAGAAUGGUCUAACUAGGAUUGCUUGCAUAACUCAAUAAAUACUUCAUCAGAUCAACCAUGUGUAUUUCUUCAAAUUCCAACACCUAAAAUUCAAGAAAGAAUUAGUUGGGUCCCCGCGGCCCCCGGGGGGGUGAAACAAUACCUAAAUCAAGAAUGGAGUACACGACUGUCCUAAGAUCAGCAAUAAAUCAAAAUCACCAAAAUAGCAUUUUACCAAAGAAAUUGUUACCCAGCAAAAGAAUUGCUACAAAUUAUUAUCCACCAAAAUAAUCAACAGAUAUUUUUCACAAGUUGUCCAAUGAUCGAUCCAAAAGUUUUAAAUUGAAUAAACAAAUCCUACAUCUUUGCCCGGAAAAACAUUAUCCAAAGUACUAGUUUCAAUUUAUAAACAAAGAAGAAACUGUGUUUGCUGUGUGGUUAUAUUAGAAUGGUCUAAUAUGCUUAACUAGUGCCGUAACAUGUUAUUAGAAAUGGAAGAAGGUUGUCAUAUGCAAGUCACUUCAAAUGAAGACUUCAAUGACGGGGAGAAGAUUGAAGGAAUGUUCCCUCGGGAUGAAGUGGAAAAACCUAUGGUUGGGAUGGUUUUUCCUUCUGAAGAAGAAAUUUGUAGUUAUUAUAACAACUAUGCGAAGAGUCAAGGUUUUGGUGUAAUAAAAAUCAGUGCAAAAAAUGGAAGAAAUGGAAAAUCAAGGUAUUUUUCACUUGCAUGCGCUAAAUAUGGAAAUCGAAACUCAACUAGAAAAGACCGUUUGCAUCCAAGGCCUUUAACUAAGACCAAUUGCAAGGCUAAAAUCAAUACUGUGGCUAAAGAUGAUGGAAGAUUCAUUAUUGUUCGUGUUUACCUUGAAACGUGGAUGCACUUUUGUGAAAAACACUUAUGAUGAUGUUAGUAAUAGUGAGCAAAGGCAUCGAGACAAUAAGUUGAAUCUAUUUUUUCAUGAACUUCAAGAGCUUGGAGUAGACUCUAAUCGUAAGUGUGAGUUUCUAAUUGAAUUAUUGAAAGAGACAAAGGAAAAAUUGCUUACCAUGGACUCAGUUUCUGGGAGUGGACAAAUCCAUGGAGUUUCGAAUGAUGUCAGCAGGUUACUUACUCCAUUAAAGGCGCGCGCCAAGGGUCGUCCGCCUUCAAAACGGAAAGAAAGUAUAGUUGGCAAAAUAAUUAAAAAAGGAAAGAAGAUUUCUCAAUGAAUAACAAGAGAGCCACUUGGUGAAAAAGAUGACUCACAUGUUGACAAAAUUUUGAUUCAAGAAAGUCACAUGCAGAUUGCUCCAACUGCUUGGAAUGGCAUGUACUUAGGGGCAGUUAUAAAUUAUUGCAACUUUGCAGAUAACUCACUCCAGGUGUAUCCACCACACUACAUGUCAAGGAGUGACCCUUCUUGGCAAAAUCAUAACUUCGACCAUACUUCGAGUGAAAAAAAUAUUAAGCCUAAGAUUACUUAUGAAGGUUCUCUUUGUGAUGGAAUCCAGCACAACAGAUUUGAUACGAAUUUUUAGUGAUGAAGUUGUAUUGCAAAUGUAUGCUCUCGUUAAGUUUUUUGGAUAGACAGACAUUGAGUACAAUUUUGCAAAUGUCUUAAUGGUGUUUACCAAUUAUGCAGUGAUAUGCAAAUGUAUUUUGAAUUUGGAGUAUGGUUCUUGUUUAUGUUUCCUUUAACAAUGUCCUGUGUCCAUAGCUAUUUCAAUGGAAAAUGGGAGCUGUGGCUUAUAUUUUUUUCCUUCAAA